GCGCCUCACCCGGUGAAGUUGGCACGGGUGACUGUCACCGUGACUGGCUUUCUGGAAACUCAAGGCUCCCGGUACGCAGAUGGCCGAGGCAGUGCAAGUGCCACAAGCAGCCACGGCUCCCGCACCCUGGAGACCUGGCUCAGCCACAUGGGCCACUGGAGCUGCCACAAUGGAGCUGUGGAUGUGAGGCCAGUGGGAGCCAGGAUGGCGCCAGCACCCCACCGACCCAGCCGGCCUGGGCAUUUGUGUCACUCUGUCCUCUGGACUGGGCAGUGCUGCAAAACCAGCAGGCGCGGGGACCGCAGCUGCCAGCGUUUAUGUCUGAGCAGGAGGGACCCCGAUGCCCCCACUCUCAGCACCAGGCUUUGCCUCUGACGUCUCCACCAGUGCGGGAAGGAGCUCCACACCAUGAUACCAGGAGGGAGGCCAUCUGUGUGCCCAUCAGAGUGAGUACCUCCCCCACCAAUGGGCUCCGAGGCCCGGGGACAGGGUGUGGCUGGCGUAGGCAGCACCUUGGGCAAUGAGCAACCUGCACAACAGGACCCAGCAGCCCAGGGUCCAAGAGAGCCCUGGACACUUUCUUGUGGACUGUCAAAAAGUUCUCCUGCCAG